CACAGUCACUUGGCUGGAGACAGUCAGCAGCGAACGUGCUGUGCUGCUUUCCCAGGCCUCGAGGCCACAGCCUCAGGACCCCAUGCAGGGAAAGCACUUGGGAACUGCCAGACCCUCACGGGUAGCACAGGGCAGGUCUUGCCAGACCCAGAGACCUAGGCCCUGGGAUGAGAGGGAGCCCAGGGCAGGUGUUCCUGGGCCUGGCCACCAGGCACUCUGAGGAAUUCAGUCCAGGACAACAACAUUUAGGCCUGGCCUCCACAAUUGGGAAUCAGGCGGCCGAGAGCCUGGCAGAGCUCUGCACAGUGAGGACGGCACAGGCAGGCCGGCUGCACACCCUGACUGAGCCCCUGGAGCAGGCCUUCCUGGACAGCUGCCCCAUCAAUGGGGCCUCCUUCCCGGACCCCACAAGGGCCUGCAUUUCCUCCCUGCAGGAGGGGAUGCUGGGAAGUGGAGCUGCACUCCCAGGAGGAUCCCUCAGCUGAACUCCUGGCCCGGCGAGGGCACACUAAGCCCACUGAGGCAGAGCCCAAGGCUGCUGGACUGGCCCCAGCCCAAGCUGAAGUAUCGGCUGCAGAGCCCAUGCCAGCUCCACCUGCAGCUCCCUGCCCAGCUCCGCCACCACAGCCAGAGCCAGCACCAGGAACCCCUUCUCCACCAGCCGCGCAGCUGGGGCUCCCGGUGCCUCCUCAGCGGGUGUCAGCUCCUGAGCUCCCCCUGGGGCCAGCUCCUGCCCCAGGCCUGCCGUUCCCCUCCAUUAUUGUUGGUCAAAUUGAGCACCCAUUUCUGGUUCCUGAAAUGAGAAGAUGUUGUGUAUUCAUUUUUGUACUUAUGCAAUCCUAAAAAUGUCAUCAAG
rnacentral:lncRNA from 1 species